CGGGCGGGGCGGGGGCACGGGGGGCCUACGGGAGGCAGCAGUGGGGAAUAUUGCACAAUGGGCGCAAGCCUGAUGCAGCCAUGCCGCGUGUAUGAAGAAGGCCUUCGGGUUGUAAAGUACUUUCAGCGGGGAGGAAGGCGAUAAGGUUAAUAACCUUGUCGAUUGACGUACCCGCAGAGAGC
rnacentral:rRNA from 1 species